CCCACAUCACCGAGUCUUCCUUUGGCCUGAGAAACUAAUAAUAUCCUCAUCUCUCUGCUGCUAUUUUAGGCCUUGAGGGUCUGCAGGGUUGGGCAUGUGAGCAUGUUUGGAGUGGGGGGGUAAUAGGGCUAAGAAGACUUUAAACUGGAACAUGAACACAAACAGGCGGGGGUGGCACUGAGGUCUCCUGCAGUUGCUCUGGGACACACAAGCAGCAGGACCCUGAAGACAAAACCUAGAAGUUCCCUUUUAUUUCCAAGAACCGAGGACUUUACUAGAACCCCCUUAUCGUUGUUGGGAUUUUAUCUGAGUUCGAUGGGACCCCUUCUUUCUUACCUUUGUGGCUCUAGGAUAAUCUGUGUGGAUAUUUACAUAACUUGAGGGCCCAGACAUGUGUUUUGGCGUCUGAGUGUGAGGACGCUGGGUGAAAAGAGAAGUGACAGACGAGAACAAAGAAUCCCAGACACAGCUUUCAUGGUGACAGAAGAGGAGACAGGAUGUCUAGACCUUCUUCCUCCCAGACCACGCCUCAGUUCUACAGGGUCAGCGACAGAGAUCUCACUGAGAUCGAGCUGCAUUCUGUGGACUCCAUCAACGAUCUGCACCGAACACAUGGCGAACACAGCCACAAAGGGAUGAGGCCUCCUCGUCCUGCUUACACACCCUCCCUGAAUGGGAACCCAUGCGCGUGUGAGGUGCCGGCUCCCAGUCAAACAGGCCACGCAGGGAGCAUCAAAUGGCAGCGCCGACUGCAGGAGAUGCUGACGCCCAGUUCAUCACGUGCCUACGCCAUGGGCUGCGCUAUUAUCACUUUGCUUCUGCUGACAGUGUUACUCAUCUUCUACUUUUUGGUCCAGCAGGGCGGUGCGAUCAGGAUGCUGACAGAAGCAGUGAGGGAGAAAGAGGCAGCAGCCACAGAGCUGUCACUGCUGAUUCAAGAACUGCAGGCACUGAGGCACAAUCUGACAGCCACAAGAGGGGCAUGA
rnacentral:lncRNA from 1 species